rnacentral:tRNA from 1 species
GCGGAUGUGGCUCAGUGGUAGAGCAUCGGCUUCCCAAGCCGAGGACCGCGGGUUCGAAUCCCGUCAUCCGCU